GGCAGUCGUGGCCUAAUGGUUAGAGGCUCGGACUCGUAACCCGGAACCUGAAGGUCGUGGGUUCGAGUCUCAGGUCUGGCA